AUGCUACUCCCUCCGUCCGAAAAAGUUUGUCUCAAAUUUGUUUAUCAAAUGGAUGUAUCUAGCACUAACUUGAUGCUAGAUACAUUUAUUUUAGGGACAAGGUUUUUCGGACGGAGGGCGUUUUAC
rfam:Triticum aestivum genome assembly, contig: Triticum_aestivum_CS42_TGACv1_scaffold_274114_3DS